rnacentral:rRNA from 1 species
UACGAAGGGGGCUAGCGUUGUUCGGAUUUACUGGGCGUAAAGCGCACGUAGGCGGAUCGUUAAGUCGGGGGUGAAAUCCUGGAGCUCAACUCCAGAACUGCCUUCGAUACUGGCGAUCUUGAGUCCGGAAGAGGUGAGUGGAGCUCCUAGUGUAGAGGUGGAAUUCGUAGAUAUUCGCAAGAACACCAGUGGCGAAGGCGGCUCACUGGCCCGAUACUGACGCUGAGGUGCGAAAGCGUGGGGAGCAAACAGG